AGAGUUUGAUCCUGGCUCAGGACGAACGCUGGCGGCGUGGAUAAGGCAUGCAAGUCGAACGCGAACAGAACAACUAAUUCGUUAGGAGUUCUUAGUAGAGUGGUGAACGGGUGAGUAACGCGUGAACAACAUACCUCUCAGUGGGGAAUAACACAGGGAAACCUGUGCUAAUACCGCAUAUGUGAUAAUGAUGAUUUCAUAUUUAUAAAAGGCGGGGACCUUCGGGCCUGCCGCUGAGAGAUUGGUUCGCGUCCCAUUAGCUUGUUGGUAGGGUAACGGCCUACCAAGGCGACGAUGGGUAGCCGGCCUGAGAGGGCGACCGGCCACACUGGGAUUGAGAUACGGCCCAGACUCCUUCGGGAGGCAGCAGUCGAGAAUCUUCCACAAUGGACGAAAGUCUGAUGGAGCGACGCCGCGUGAGGGAUUAAGGCUUUCUGAGUCGUAAACCUCUGUCUGGAGAGAAGAACAGCACUCCUAUGAAUAGUAUGAGUGUUUGACGUUAUCUCCAGAGGAAGCUCCGGCUAACUCCGUGCCAGCAGCCGCGGUAAUACGGGGGGAGCAAGCGUUGUCCGGAAUCAUUGGGCGUAAAGGGCGUGUAGGUGGUUUUGUAAGUCGAAUGUGAAAUCUCACGGCUCAACCGUGAAAUUGCGUUCGAAACUACAAGACUUGAGUUAGGGAGAGGUGUACGGAAUUCCUGGUGUAGCGGUGGAAUGCGUAGAUAUCAGGAAGAACACCAAUGGCGAAGGCAGUACACUGGCCUGUAACUGACACUGAGGCGCGAAAGCGUGGGGAGCAAACAGGAUUAGAUACCCUGGUAGUCCACGCUGUAAACGAUGGAUACUAGGUUUUGGGGGUCUCAACCCCUUCAGAGCCGUAGCUAACGCGUUAAGUAUCCCGCCUGGGGAGUACGAUCGCAAGGUUGAAACUCAAAGGAAUUGACGGGUUCCCGCACAAGCGGUGGAGCAUGUGCUUUAAUUCGAGGCAACGCGAAGAACCUUACCUGGGCUUGACAUGGGAGCUCUCCCUUCGGGGGGGGUUAGCUAUGUGAAAGCAUGGUUAGUCCACACAGGUGUUGCAUGGCUGUCGUCAGCUCGUGUCGUGAGAUGUUCGGUUAAGUCCGGCAACGAGCGCAACCCUCGCUGUCAGUUACCAACGGGUAAUGCCGGGGACUCUGACAGGACUGCCGGUGAUAAACCGGAGGAAGGCGGGGAUGAC
rnacentral:rRNA from 1 species